rnacentral:rRNA from 1 species
AUUGAACGCUGGCGGCAGGCUUAACACAUGCAAGUCGAGCGGAGCGAGGGUGCUUGCACCUUAGCUUAGCGGCGGACGGGUGAGUAAUGCUUAGGAAUCUGCCUAUUAGUGGGGGACAACAUUCCGAAAGGGAUGCUAAUACCGCAUACGCCCUACGGGGAAAGCAGGGGAUCUUCGGACCUUGCGCUAAUAGAUGAGCCUAAGUCGGAUUAGCUAGUUGGUGGGGUAAAGGCCUACCAAGGCGACGAUCUGUAGCGGGUCUGAGAGGAUGAUCCGCCACACUGGGACUGAGACACGGCCCAGACUCCUACGGGAGGCAGCAGUGGGGAAUAUUGGACAAUGGGGGGAACCCUGAUCCAGCCAUGCCGCGUGUGUGAAGAAGGCCUUUUGGUUGUAAAGCACUUUAAGCGAGGAGGAGGCGCUCUAGGUUAAUACCCUAGAUGCGUGGACGUUACUCGCAGAAUAAGCACCGGCUAACUCUGUGCCAGCCGCCGCGGUAAGAC